rnacentral:rRNA from 1 species
UACGUAGGGGGCAAGCGUUAUCCGGAUUUACUGGGUGUAAAGGGUGCGUAGGUGGCAAUGUAAGUCAGAUGCGAAAUUUUGGGGCUCAACCCCAAAGCUGCAUCUGAAACUGUGUAGCUAGAGUGCAGGAGAGGAAAGCGGAAUUCCGAGUGUAGCGGUGAAAUGCGUAGAGAUUCGGAGGAACACCAGUAGCGAAGGCGGCUUUCUGGACUGUAACUGACACUGAGGCACGAAAGCGUGGGGAGCGAACAGG